UGCCAACUCCUCUUUUCACACAGGG
rnacentral:piRNA from 1 species